rnacentral:rRNA from 1 species
GACGAACGCUGGCGGCGUGCCUAACACAUGCAAGUCGAACGGAUUUGUGAGGUGUGAGGUUAGAGGUUAGAGGUGAGAAAUUCUAAGGAAGAAAUCGGCGCAGGCCGAUUUCAACAAGAUUCUCACAUCCAACUUCUCACCUCGCACUUCGCAAAUUAGUGGCGGACGGGUGAGUAACGCGUGGAUGACCUACCUAUAUGUGGGGGAUAACAGUUGGAAACGACUGCUAAUACCGCAUGUGAUCACAAUUAUAAAGGUUGUGAGGAAAGAUGGCCUCUGUUUACAAGCUGUCGCAUAUAGAUGGGUCCGCGUCUGAUUAGCUAGUUGGUAGGGUAAAGGCCUACAAGGCGACGAUCAGUAGCCGGCCUGAGAGGGUGGACGGCCACACUGGGACUGAGACACGGCCCAGACUCCUACGGGAGGCAGCAGUGGGGAAUAUUGCGCAAGUGGGGGAAACCCUGACGCAGCGACGCCGCGUGAGCGAAGAGGUACCG